rnacentral:rRNA from 1 species
AUGAGAGGAAUGGGAAGUGUGAGUAGGAGAAGAAAUUAUACCGGGAUCGGAAACCAUGUGCGAGAUGGCUCCCGAGUCCAUGAUCCAGUGACGGGCGUUGGAGGAGGCAUCGUUCAGAGCCGCUAUGAGGGAGGAGCGGUCCCAGGUUGGUGUCCCGUACGGAGUAGCAAGUGGUGGCAGGUUGGAGCCGAAGGCUUGUCCAUGCAGAGGGGCCAGCUGCGUGGUGUAGGCCUGCUGGCCAGGAGGAACCCAGGUGGCCUCGCGCGGCUGCAGUCCAGUGGGUUGCGGCCCAAGGAGGCCUGGUCCGCCAGGAGGGAGGCUCGGUCCUCUAGUCGGCCUCCAGGUGGGAUGCAUCUACUGAGUAUGGCCCGUGUAGGGGUUGAAGCAUAUCCACGGGCCAAGCGACACUGGGAAGUUGACGAAGGAGCCUUGGUUGCUGCUGCGAUCGCUGCCAUUGCCGCGGUAGGAGCCAUCGUCGUUCUUAUCUCUAUUUCUAUAAAAAUCACAGUUGGUGGUGAUGGUGUGCCGGCCAUCCAUCGAUCUUGGCCGUUUGAUCUGCAUCCGACGCAUGAGAGCAACCCCACUUCACAUUUGCAAAGAAACCCCUCAUUCUCUUCAUCCAUCUCCAUCCAGUCCCACCUUAUCCAAUCAGCCCAGCAAACGAUCCUUCUGGAAAAAAGUGGAACCGAAGUGGCAGCGGCCACGCACUCUGCACGCCGCCGGCGCCGGCGGCUCCCAACUCCUCGCUGUCGCAAAGCCUCACCGCCAACCUCCACUUCCACCUCCCCUCCUUCCCGUCGUCUCCUACGACGCUGCUGGCACCGUACGUGUGCCGAGUCUGCAAGGCCUCUCCUACCUACUCCACCAAUGCAGCAGAUCCGCCACCCAGCACCUCUCCCUCCUCACCGCUGUCUCAUCCCCCUACCCCUAUAG